rnacentral:tRNA from 1 species
GGUCCGGUAGCUGAACUGGAAGACUGGCAAGUCGCACAGCACCCGAUUUGUAAUCGGGAGAAUGUUGGUUCGAGUCCAACCCGGAUCGCCA